ensembl:snoRNA SNORA72 Small nucleolar RNA SNORA72
CUGCAAAUAUUCUCACUGUUCUGAUUUUGCGAUAAUUAGGGCAGGCCAAAUGUUCACUAUGUUAGGACCGUGCAUGUGUCCCCAGAUCUAGUUCUUUACCUAGGUCUCGUUUUAUAAAUGCUGGUGAUAAAC